CGCGUAGGCGGUUCGCUAAGUCGGAUGUGAAAACUCUGGGCUCAACCCAGAGCCUGCAUCCGAAACUGGCGGGCUAGAGUUCUGGAGGGGGUAGCGGAAUUCCUGGUGUAGCGGUGAAAUGCGUAGAUAUCAGGAGGAACACCGGUGGCGAAGGCGGCUACCUGGACAGAAACUGACGCUGAGGCGCGAAAGCUAGGGGAGCAAACAGGAUUAGAUAUCCUGGUAGUCCUAGCCCUAAACGAUGGGUACUUGGUGUGACUGGGAUUGAAUCCAGUCGUGCCGAAGCUAACGCAUUAAGUAUCCCGCCUGGGGAGUACGGUCGCAAGGCUGAA
rnacentral:rRNA from 1 species